UUUUGACUUUGUUUUGUUAUGUCACAAGGAUCCAAAGAAUCCAUGCAUUUUGGUCUUAUUAGUUAGGUAUUUAUUCUCUACAGAUUGACAAUCUCCAGCCGAAAUACUUGAAGAUGAGGUCAGUGACACAGCACUACCCCAAAUAUAUAUAAGUAGGUUGUCAAGUUUGGCCUCAACUUCUAGUAGAGAUGCCCAGACAUCAUCAUCAUCAUUUCGAUCUAAAUUAUCUAAAAGAUCUAGGGCGGAUGAUAUUUUAAGUAAAGUGGACAAACGUUUAGAUCAAAGCGAUGACCAAUUUGACAUUAUCGGUAAAAACAUUUCCCACAAACUAAGAAAAUUACCGUCAGAAGUAGCCCUGGUUACCGAGAAAAUGAUAAACGAUAUAGUUUUUAAAAGUCAAAUGGGCAACGUCGAUAAAUAUUCGAAAAUUAAUAUAUACAGAACUAGACAAUAUCCGUCUCAACACAACAAUAACUUUCCGGUCCCUACGCAUGCUAACAUACCACCAUCCCAACAUCCAAAUCUAACACAAAUUGAGGUUAUGUCACAAAACUCUCCACGUUUACAGCCCAAUACGGGAAAUGACUUUCGGAAGAACGGAAUUUCGUUUAGGCGACUAUAUUACAUUAAAUAAUGGAUGGCAAUAAAACUAUUGAAAUAAG